ACAAAGAUAAAAACGCAACGUGCGCCGUCUGGCGUGCCAGAGCCGGUAGGUAGCCCGGCCGUCUUGCGAAAGCAAGGUAAGUAACCUGCCCCUCCAGGGUUGUCCGUUCUUUGUCCAA
rnacentral:ncRNA from 1 species